rnacentral:tRNA from 2 species
AGAUGGUUAGUAUUAAAUAAAAUACUUGGUUUCGGCCCAGGAGUUUGUGGUGUAAACCCACAACCAUUUA